GAUGAACGCUGGCGGCGUGCCUAAUACAUGCGAGUCGAGCGAACAGAUAAGGAGCUUGCUCCUUUGACGUUAGCGGCGGACGGGUGAGUGACACGUGGGUAACCUACCUAUAAGACUGGAAUAACUCCGGGAAACCGGGGCUAAUGCCGGAUAACAUUUAGAACCGCAUGGUUCUAAAGUGAAAGAUGGUUUUGCUAUCACUUAUAGAUGGACCCGCGCCGUAUUAGCUAGUUGGUAAGGUAAUGGCUUACCAAGGCAACGAUACGUAGCCGACCUGAGAGGGUGAUCGGCCACACUAGAACUGAGACACGGUCCAGACUCCUACGGGAGGCAGCAGUAGGGAAUCUUCCGCAAUGGGCGAAAGCCUGACGGAGCAACGCCGCGUGAGUGAUGAAGGGUUUCGGCUCGUAAAACUCUGUUAUUAGGGAAGAACAAACGUGUAAGUAACUGUGCACGUCUUGACGGUACCUAAUCAGAAAGCCACGGCUAACUACGUGCCAGCAGCCGCCGUAAGAC
rnacentral:rRNA from 1 species